rnacentral:tRNA from 2 species
GGAGAAGUACUCAAGUUGGCUGAAGAGGUGCCCCUGCUAAGGGUAUAGGUCGUGUUUUUAGCGGCGCGAGGGUUCAAAUCCCUCCUUCUCCG